ACUCCAUACGGGAGGCAGCAGUGGGGAAUCUUAGACAAUGGGGGCAACCCUGAUCUAGCCAUGCCGCGUGAGUGAUGAAGGCCCUAGGGUUGUAAAGCUCUUUCAGUCGUGAAGAUAAUGACGGUAGCGACAGAAGAAGCCCCGGCUAACUCCGUGCCAGCAGCCGCGGUAAUACGGAGGGGGCUAGCGUUGUUCGGAAUUACUGGGCGUAAAGCGCGCGUAGGCGGACCGGAAAGUUGGGGGUGAAAUCCCGGGGCUCAACCCCGGAACGGCCUCCAAAACUAUCGGUCUGGAGUUCGAGGAGGUGAGUGGAAUUCCGAGUGUAGAGGUGAAAUUCGUAGAUAUUCGGAGGAACACCAGUGGCGAAGGCGGCUCACUGGCUCGAUACUGACGCUGAGGUGCGAAAGCGUGGGGGAGCAAACAGGAUUAGAUACCCUGGUAGGUCAGUC
rnacentral:rRNA from 1 species